rnacentral:piRNA from 1 species
CUUAGAUGAGUGGAAAGGUGCU